UCCAGACUCCUACGGGAGGCAGCAGUGAGGAAUAUUGGUCAAUGGCCGGAAGGCUGAACCAGCCAAGUCGCGUGAGGGACGACUGCCCUAUGGGUUGUAAACCUCUUUUAUAAGGGAAGAAUAAAUGCUACGUGUAGCAUGAUGCCUGUACCUUAUGAAUAAGCAUCGGCUAACUCCGUGCCAGCAGCCGCGGUAAUACGGAGGAUGCGAGCGUUAUCCGGAUUUAUUGGGUUUAAAGGGUGCGCAGGCGGCACGGCAAGCCGGCGGUCAAAUCGCGGGGCUCAACCCCGCCCAGCCGUCGGAACUGCCGGGCUAGAGUGGGCGAGAAGUGCGCGGAAUGCGUGGUGUAGCGGUGAAAUGCAUAGAUAUCACGCAGAACUCCGAUUGCGAAGGCAGCGCACCGGCGCCCUACUGACGCUCAGGCACGAAAGCGUGGGUAUCGAACAGGAUUAGAUACCCUAGUA
rnacentral:rRNA from 1 species